AAUCCUUAGGCUAUCCAGAGACGGGUCAGUGGUUCCGUGUCAUUCGACAGAACAUGGGCGGGGUAUAAGGAUGGAUUUGGUUUCCCUAACGACUCCUACUGGAUUGGAAAUGACGUCAUACAUCAACUUACCAAGAGAAGGAACUCCUCCCUCUACGUCUCUAUCACACUGACUAAUGGGACAAAGCUCUAUGAAUUAUACAACCAGUUUUCUGUUGCUGACGAAAUCAAUAAAUACAGACUUUUUCUUGGCGGACCAGCCACCGGGACCCUGGGAGACAGUAUGUUACACA